rnacentral:misc_RNA from 1 species
GACUGUCUGUCAUGGCGUAAAGAAGUGUACAUUUCUGUGCACAGUAAAACAAAAAUAAUGAUUCUCAGACGAUUUAUUUUGCGAUUGUGCUGUAAAAACUUUUGUUUAAGAUAUAAAGUAUCAUGAUUAAAGUGUGCUAGUUAUAUUUAGACGUAAGUGUGCGUUAAAAUGGACAAGAAAAAUGCCAUUAGGAGAGCCAAGAGGCCGUCUAAAGUGCUCGAAGAAAAUUAUUGGGAUUGCAGCGUUUGUACGUACAGAAAUAAUGCGGAAGCCUUCAAAUGUUCAAUGUGCGACGUUAGAAAAGGCACAUCGACGCGCAAGCCGCGGAUCAACCCAGCCCUGGUUGCGGCGCAGGCAGCUGGUACAGCGCCCACCAGUUCGCAGAAGAGGCCACGCUCUGCCAACUCUCUCAAGAAGAAACGGAGGCCGCCGCGGCUGAGCAAUGUGGAUAGGAGCUCUGCGCAGACUAGAGAGGUGACCGUCAGUGGGGUAACUGUUGUUAUAACUGAAUACAAGCCCAAGAAAUCUGUGUCGAGCAGUUCAAGUGAUGUGGAGUCUUCGAAUGACGCGAGACCCUGACUCUCGGCCGCGUUGGCACUCGCACCAACGACCCAAUCAUAGACUUUGAAUAGUUCCAGUAGCAGUGUUUUGUUUUACAGAUUUUAAUUCCUAUCCCUCCCUUCGAAAUAUUUAUUAAGAUUGCCCCUAUUUGUAGAUGAAUUUCUAUGUAUAUUCCAGUAGAUACUGUGUAUGUUUUCUUUUUUUAUCUAUUCAUAUUGUAACGCAAUGGUGUGUCUGAUUUAAGCAAUAAUUUGACAGCUCAAACGCAUUUAAAUCGUCUGAGUAUGACCUUUAUAAUUUUAGUUUUCUUAUGAAUUCGACAAGAUAUUUUCGAAAAGGUGUGAUCAAAAUAGAAAUGUAAGCAUAGUUGGUUGAAAUAUCGCUUUUCGAAAUCGUAACUAAGCUUUACUUAAUGCCAUUAAAUAUUUCGAAAACUGUAACUUAUCUUAGGAGUAGGUUUUUUUCAUUGAUUAAAAUUUUUGUAAAGGAUUGAUGUACAUAUUGAAGAGACCAGCUGGUCACUGCCAAAAGAUGAAUUGUAAAUAAAAAUGAUGAAGAUGAGAGACGGCGGUUAAUAUGUAGUAGUUUUGAAUAUUUUCUUAUAUUAAAUGAGCCGGGUGCUCUGUCUAAAUGUUUUAGGGUCUGCUUAACUGUCAGAUCUAAUAAUUCUGACUUUACUUUGUACCAUAAGUAGAAUUGCUUUAUGGUCAUCUACACAACUUCUGGAUAAGACUUGAUUAAUCUUAUUAAUUUGUUAAACAAAUCUUUUCCUGAAGUUGUGACCUGGCCUUUUCAGACUAUAAUAUGAGUUAGUCAUAAUUUUUUUUUACUUGAUUAUAUAGAAACAAUGAUGUACGUUUUUAAAUAUGGAAAAAUGAAAUAUGAAGAAAAUGCCUUAAAAUUUUAAUAUGCAUAAAAAGCAAUACAAAACUUUUAUUUUUUUAAUGAGUAUUGUUUGUAAUAAUUUUAAUAAAUGAUAAUGGAACGCACAAAACAUUCGUUAAAUGGUCAAGCAAUAAUAUUUUUGUAACGUAACUAGGGUUUGCAAUGUAAAGUCUGUCAUAAUUUUAUUUCGAUUGUUUAUUAUAUACUACAUAAUUAUCUUGUACCGAUACAUAGAAUCAAGUUUUAAAAUAACCCUAGUAUGAAAAAAAUAAAAUAAAACAAUGGUGUAAAAAAGCGUAUGAGAUUUUUUGACACAAAAAAUUAUUCGCGUUUCUACAUAAGCCGCUUUUUUGCAUUAAACAAAAAAUUGUGCAGUAUUCUGCAAUUUCAAAGAGAUGGUUUUAAGUGCGUAAUUAUUACCUGAAAAUUUUUGACAUAUAUUAAAAAGCCUGAAAAGUGUACUGCAAAGAGCAUGAGAUGAAAUGUAUUAAAAAUCCACAAUAUCUGUAAGUUACCAAAAAAAUUAGCGGCCCUAUCGUGUUCCAAGCAUUGACUAAGUAUUUAUUCUAGCUUUAAGUUAUUAUUAAGUUAAUUACAAUGUCCGUGCUUCAGACAUUUUUACACAAAAUCUGUUUAAUUGUAAAAAAUGUAUUGAGCUGGAUCAAACAGAAAAUAUGUUUUUUUUUUUUUUCAUUAAAUGCAGUUUAAGCCACUAACCCGCAUUUUAGGGACAAUUAAAAAGAUAUUGUGUAAAUAUGUGCAAAUUUUAAAUAUUUGACAAUACAAUUCGAUGUGUAUGCUAUGAUGUAAAAUAUUUUAAUUAUUUAUUUUAUUUUUAUAUUGACAUCACGCGUGUUUCGCCUCGAGGGCAGUAAAGAGGUAUUUAACAUCAUCCUCAUUUCGCCAGCUAUUAAUAUAUGAAAUUGUAUAAUAAAAUAUUAAAGAGUUCUAGAAAUGUUUUACUUAGAUAUGAAUAUUUUUGAUCUAGUGCACAUAUACGAUUUUUGCAACUUUGUUGUGGUGUAUAAAAAUUUUAGUAAUAAUGUUAUUAUUAUCGAUAGAAUUGCACGGUAGAUUUGAAUAUUUUAUAAUGUUUCCAAUUUUAAGCACAGUAUAUUGUAUAAUUUCCGAGAGAUAUGCGUGUAUCAUUUAUAUUCGUAGUUGACAUAUCUAUUCAUAUGUGAUUCUAUGGUAAAAUCGUAUGUGUGCGCUAGGCCUUACGCCGACAAUACACGGACCGCUGGAAGCAGUCAGGGGCGAUAGCUUCAAGCUGUCGACUGCAUAGUGAACUGCAGAGUUUUAUGGACGCACAUACACGAACCGCCGAGCAGUUGCAACUGAUUCGGGCGGUCGACAGCCUGAAGCUAUCGCCCCCGACUGCUUCAAGUGGUCCGUGUAUUGCCGGCCUUACAGUGCGGCAAGAUGUCCUUCAGUGGCCGCCCGCCCGAGGUCGUGGGCUAAUUAGUCCAUUUUACUCCAACUAAUUAAUACGCUAGAUAUUCCAUUUUGAUAAAAAACACCCUUACAAGUCAAAGUAUUAUUAGAAAUUUCGAAGCAAAAAGUUGCCACAUUAAAAAAAUAAUUCGCGAACAAUUUUUGUUCGUUAUUUUUGUACGAAAAAAAAACAACGGUUUUUUGUUCGUUUUUUAAAUAAUUAUUAUUCAUAAAUUUAAAAUUUUGUAACUAUUAUUAGUAUUAAAACGGGUGCGUGUAAAUUUUUGUAAUUAGAUACCAUUUUUGUAUGGAUUUGUAAGAUUUUUAAAUGAAAUAGAAUCGGGACUUCCUAAUGUUUCUUCCUCCAUACCGUACUGUUUAGAUAAUGUACAGUUGAAAUAAUAUAUCCACAUCUUGUCGCAGAGUAAUUGUACUAACAUUACCAAUCUAGUUAGAAAUAUUCUAUAAAGCGAACUGUAAAGGCUCUUCUACACUGAUGCGGUAAAAUCGCGCGGUUUGAACGUGGUUUAACUUUAACGUUGUGUUACUCUGUGUGACAGCUAAAUAAUGCUAACAAUAACAAAGUCACAGUAACAAAUUAUUUAUGUAACAGACAGUCUCUUCGUUUUUGGAUUUUUUCAUCAUUUUCUGAAAUGAUUUUUCUGAGGGUUCAUGAACUUAAGUAAUACUUAGUGCAUCACAUCUUAAAAUAAUCACAAUUAUUUAUUUAAUUUAUUCAAGUAGGUACUAAAAUACAUCUUGUAUAAUAUUUCAAAGUGAAAUAAAACCUCGCGCGAUUUCACUUUAUCUGUGUGGAAAACCUUUAUAUUUAACUUUAUCUGUGUGAAAGACCUUUAUUCCAUUUUACCUCUCACCACGAGUUCUUCCUAUAAUCUCCAUUGUAUGUAGUAAAGCUUUUGAAUCUCGAAUCGGGCAAUGUCGGCCAUUUGCAAUCACUCUGCGACGAAUCACUGUUUACUCUGAAAACUGACAUCUGUGAAGCUAGCACGAAAGAAAGCUCUAAUGUUACCAUAUAAGGAAAAAAAAAAAACAGGUGUGCACUCACUAGUUUAAGAAAGUCGAUUAAAAUUAGAUCUUUAUUUAUCGUCGGAAGUCUAGAAAAACCUCUUAACUUUUUGAAGCAGGCAAUCUUAUUGAUUGAGUGAGAAACAUGGAUAAAAUACAUAAGUGAUGUAGUUCCUUUUUACGGUAACAUUAGUAGUUUUAUGCUAGGUUCACUAAUGUAUGUAUAACUUCUGCCGGUUGUACCUUGGUAAUGUCACAAUUGCAGACAUAAAAAUAUUGUACCUCUUUUUACUUCGUAGUCGUCUUAAAACAUGUCAAAUGUCCCUUAUGUCUGCAAAUGUAUGUUUCGUUUAGCGAAUUUGUUCAAGUGGGAGUAUGAUUUUGUUGAUUAUUUGAUCUUCAAUACAAAUAGAUAAUUAAUUGAAUUUUAAUUAUAGUCGUGUGAUUCCUAUUGAGACUAGGUAUGAACGCCCUUUUAAUUAUUAAUUGCUAAAUUAAAAUCUAUUUAUUCUUACCGCUAUGAUUUCUAGAUUUAAUUUAUAAUCUGUGGUGGACUCUGUGACAUUACGAUAGUGUUGCAAGUAAUAAAAUACUAUUUUUGUACGUUGUCUAUGCACAGAGUCCCGCUUGUCUAUGGUACGGCUAAAUGUUAACUUAAUGUGUAACGUAGAGCUAAAUGUUAAUUAUUUUUAAGUUCUAUAUCAAUGUACUGUACUGUAUAUAAAGGAUGUGGAAAGUA